GCAUGCACCAUCAUAUCUGGUUAAUGUUUUGUAUUUUUUUUUUUGUAGAUACGGGGUUUCUCCAUAUUGGCCAAUGUGGUCUUGAACUCCUAGGUUCAAGCAAUUCUCCUGCCUCAGCCUCCUAAAAUGUUGGGAUUAUACAUGUGAGCCACUGUGCCCAGCCUGCUGUUUUUUUAGAAAGAGGAGAGAAGGACGGUCUAAAACUCCCAUUUUUUCUUGUCAUUCACCUGGCAACCCAGAGUCAGGAGGAAGAUGGGAACUUUGAGAAAUGCAGCUGUCUAUUGUCUGCACACUGUCCAUGUCCCACAAGCCCAUAGCCUGGUGACCAUGGUCUUCAACUCAAACUUGGUGCUGUUGAUGCUGUCAAUGUGGAAUUGAAGACAGAGAAGCAGAGAUUUUUAAGUCAGAAGCAAACUUCAGAAGUUUUAGUUUGUAACUAUUGUUUAUUUCUGGAAAUCAUUUGGAAGAUAUUAUUUUACUUUUGU
rnacentral:lncRNA from 1 species